UACCCGCUGAACUUAAGCAUAUCAAUAAGCGGAGGAAAAGAAACUAACAAGGAUUCCCCUAGUAACGGCGAGUGAAGAGGGAAAAGCUCAAAUUUUGAAUCUGGUGUCUUUGACUCCCGAGUUGUAAUCUAGAGAAGUGUUUUCCGUGUCGGACCGUGCACAAGUUCCCUGGAACGGGGCGUCAUAGAGGGUGGGAAUCCCGUAUAUGGCACGGACUGCCGAUGCUUUUGUGAUACACUCUCAACGAGUCGAGUUGUUUGGGAAUGCAGCUCAAAAUGGGUGGUAAAUUCCAUCUAAAGCUAAAUAUUGGCGAGAGACCGAUAGCGAACAAGUACCGUGAGGGAAAGAUGAAAAGCACUUUGGAAAGAGAGUGAAACAGUACGUGAAAUUGUUGAAAGGGAAACACUUGA
rnacentral:rRNA from 1 species